rnacentral:misc_RNA from 1 species
AACCAUUCUCACCUGCGGCUAGACCUGCGGAGGGAUCAUUACAGAGUUGCAAAACUCCCUAAACCAUUGUGAACGUUACCUAAACCGUUGCUUCGGCGGGCGGCCCGGGUCCUUCCCGGCGCCCCUCGGCCCUCGCGGGCGCCCGCCGGAGGUAAACCAAACUAUUGCAUUGUAUGGCCUCUCUGAGUCUUCUGUACUGAAUAAGUCAAAACUUUUAGCAAUGGAUCUCAGAUCGGAAGA